rnacentral:rRNA from 1 species
AUUGAACGCUGGCGGCAGGCUUAACACAUGCAAGUCGAGCGGUAACAGAGAGCAGCUUGCUUCUCUGCUGACGAGCGGCGGACGGGUGAGUAAUGCCUAGGAAUCUGCCUAGUAGUGGGGGAUAACUUGCCGAAAGGUAAGCUAAUACCGCAUACGUCCUACGGGAGAAAGGAGGGGACCUUCGGGCCUUUCGCUAUUAGAUGAGCCUAGGUCGGAUUAGUUAGUUGGUGAGGUAAUGGCUCACCAAGACCGCGAUCCGUAACUGGUCUGAGAGGAUCAUCAGUCACACUGGAACGGAGACACGGUCCAGACUCCUACGGGAGGCAGCAGUGGGGAAUAUUGGACAAUGGGGGGAACCCUGAUCCAGCCAUGCCGCGUGUGUGAAGAAGGUCUUAGGAUUGUAAAGCACUUUAAGUUGGGAGGAAGAGCAGUUAACUAAUAUUUGACUGUUUUGACGUUACCGACAGAAUAAGCACCGGCUAACCUCGUGUCAGCAGCCGCCGUAA